rnacentral:rRNA from 1 species
GACGAACGCUGGCGGCGUGCCUAAUACAUGCAAGUAGAACGCACAGUUUAUACCGUAGCUUGCUACACCAUAGACUGUGAGUUGCGAACGGGUGAGUAACGCGUAGGUAACCUGCCUGGUAGCGGGGGAUAACUAUUGGAAACGAUAGCUAAUACCGCAUAAUAUUGAUUAUUGCAUGAUAAUUGAUUGAAAGAUGCUAUUGCAUCACUACCAGAUGGACCUGCGUUGUAUUAGCUAGUAGGUGAGGUAACGGCUCACCUAGGCGACGAUACAUAGCCGACCUGAGAGGGUGAGAGGCCACGCUGGGACUGAGAGACGGCCCAGAAUCCUACGGGAGGCAGCAGUAGGGAAUCUUCGGGAAUGGACGAAAGUCUGACCGAGCAACGCCGCGUGAGUGAAGAAGGUUUUCGGAUCGUAAAGCUCUGUUGUAAGAGAAGAUCGGGUGGGAGAGUGGCAAGUGCACACUGUGACGGUAUCUUACCAGAAAGCGACGGCUAACUACGUG